rnacentral:lncRNA from 1 species
AUGUCUCAAACAAACUAAAUCAUUUGUAGAUUUAUUAUAACAAAAAUACAACAAACAUUAGAACAAUAUCAAAAUAGUAAUUAUAUUCUAUAAAUCAAUUACAUAACAAUUAUUUUUUAUAUUUUUGUCUUGAAAUAUUCCACACGCAACCGAAGUUAUAACUACGAAAUUUAUUACCACAAACAACCGAGCCGGUACCACGAAUACCAAAAUCUGAGCCGGUACCAGAGGGAAUGUCAAAGAAGCCAAACUUAACCAGUAGGAAGCAAAGCAAAGGCUGGUGAUACAGAAUAAGAAAAGCCUGGGAUCCCUCAAACAAUGGCGCAGCCAAGUAAUUCCAUCCCCCUUAUGGUAGCGGUUUGUUUCCGUAAUUGUCUUGUAGAGGUAGGAAUCUUGAAUAUUGUCAAAAUCAGAAUCGGAAAUAUUAAGCCGCAGAGAAUUGAAAGAAGACGCUACCUGCAUGCCGUCGUUGGAAAAUCUAGAGAUAAUUCCAUCUGAACAUAGGCACUCUACAUCAGUCGGAUAUCUAAUGAGACUGCUCAUGAAAGAGGCGUAAGCGGUCAAAUCCUUGGGGAAUCCAUUAGAACAACGCUCCAAGGCCACGCAGUUAACAAGGAUGGCAAUAAAGAGAUCACUGACGGUUACAGGUGGGAUUUCAAGCACUCCGUCCUUGAAAUGGAUAUCGGUGAACCUAUCGGUUCUUCUUGGCUUGAACUCUACACCUGACUUUCGGAGUUCCAAUGCAUUUUUUGUGAGAUGAAAAAGUUCGGUUGUCUUUGAAGUUGAUGGGUUCGACUGCGUAGAGAGUGUUGAGAUUGCAGUCAAACAAGGAUAUAGGCUACUGAUAUUAGCCUCUACUUUGUUGAUGAAACAGAGUUUGCAUAAAAAACCAUCAGAACUUUUUCAUUUCAUUGUUUUCACUAUAUAUAUUUACAGAACAGUUAACAUGCACAUAGAAACAUCAUUAACACUUGUCAAACUAAACAAACAAGUGUAGAGCAUCAGUUACAAGGUACAUGCAUAACACCACGUAUGGUGUUCUUUGUACAGCACAACAAAAACAAUUUCCUGCACAGCAUUUAAAUAACAAAAAACCAUGUCUCUGUCUUUACUUAGACACUUGCAAGCAUUACAUUCAACAUUCCCCCUUAAUGCUUGCUUGAUGCACCAUUAAUUUGUUUCUCUGAAACUCAAACAUUGGCUUCCUGAGUGCUUUAGUCAUAAUAUCAGCAAGUUGAUCUUCAGAAGGACAGUAUUGGAUGCAAAUUUCACCCUUCUUUUCAGCAUCCCUUGGAGCAUGAUAUUUCACACUGAUAUGUUUAGUUUUUCCAUGGAAGACAGGGUUUUUGGCCAUAGCUAUAGCAGAUUUAUUAUCAAGCCACAAAUCAGUAGCUUCAAGCUGAGGCAUAGUGAGAUCAUGAAGAACCUUCCUCACCCAAAUUGCAUGAUUUGCUGCUGAAGCUGCAGCCACAUACUCAGCUUCCGCAGAAGAUUGAGCAACCAUGUCUUGCUUGUGGGAGCUCCAAGAAAAUAAGCCAUUUCCAAGAGUGAAUACAUACCCGGAAGUGCUCUUUGCAUCAUCUAGAGAUCCAGCCCAGUCACUAUCAGAAAAUCCUGAUAGUUUAACAGCCUUUGUCUGAGUGAACUUCAAACCAUAAGCUGCUGUACCUUUUAAAUACCUGAGUAUUCUUUUUGCAGCAACAAAAUGACAGCUUCUUGGUUUUUGCAUAAAACGAGAUAAAUAGCUGACAGCAAACAUAACAUCAGGCCUUGUUGCACAUAGGUACAGAAGACAACCGAUAAGACUUCUAUAUUGAGAAGGAUUUUCCAGUUCAAAACCAGAUUGGGAAGAUAACUUCUCAUUAACUACCAGAGGUGAAGCAGUGGCUUUGCAUUCAUUCAUCUGAAACUUUUUAAGCAUUUCAAGCACAUAUUUGUGUUGAGAAACAUGUAUUCCACUAUGAAUCCUUUUGAUUUCCAGCCCCAAAAAAUAAGUCAUAUCUCCCAAAUCGGACAUAUAAAAUUCCUUCUCCAUAUUCUGUUUGAAUUUUCUAACAGCAUCUUCACUUCCCCCUGUCACUAGUAAGUCAUCCACAAACAAGGAUAGGAUUAGUGGAGCCUCAUUGCUGUGUUUUAACACAUAAAGAGUUGCUUCAUUAGGACUCUUUUGGAAUCCUUGAUCAAGCAGGUAAGUGUUAAUCCUGCUGUACCAAGCACGAGGUGCUUGUUUUAAUCCAUAAAGAGCCUUGUGAAGUCUGUACACCUUUCCUCGUCCAGAACAGAGUUCAAAUCCCGGUGGUUGCUCCACAUAAAUUUCUUCAUCAAGCUUCCCAUUUAAAAAUGCUGAUUUAACAUCCAAGUGAAAGAGUUUCCACUGGAAUGCAGCAGCCAAAGCUAUAAGCAAUCUAAUAGUGUCCAAUCGAGCCACUGGUGCAAUGGUUUCUUGGAAAUCAAUACCAAGUAUUUGAGAAUAGCCCUUCACUACUAGUCUUGCCUUGUACCUGUUUAAAGUGCCAUCAGGAUUGAGCUUUCUUUUAAAAAUCCAUUUGACCCCAAUUACUUGUCGAUCCUUAGGCCUAUCCACCAGAGACCAAGUUUUGUUUUUGACUAUCAUAUUCAGUUCUUCCUUCAUAGCUGUAACCCAAUGCUCAUAAACUGCAGCAACUUCAUAAGAGUUAGGUUCUGUGAUAGCCAUAUGACAUCUCUCAUAAAUGUUUUGAAUAGACCUUACUCCUCUAACUGGAGCUUCAUCAACUGUUUCAUCAUCAACAAGAAUUUGAGAAUCAGUAUGUUGAUAUUUUGAUACAUCAAUAAAUUCAUUCGAAUCUACAGCUUGGCUUUGCUCCCAAUUCCAGCUCCUAUUCUCAUCAAAUACAACAUUCCUGCUAACAGAAAUUCUACCAAAUUCAACCUGAAAUAUUCUAUAUGCUUUGGACUUCAAACUAUAUCCAAUCAGAACCCCAAUCUGAGCCUUUGGUUGAAGUUUGUCUCUCUGUUCCUCAGGUAUAUGUUGAUAACAAAGACUUCCAAACACUCGCAAAUGAUCUACAGAAGGCCUGGUCCCAUACCAUGCUUCAUAUGGAGUGAUAUUUUGUUUUGCUCGAGUAGGAAUAAUAUUGAGCAAGUAUACUGCUGUCGAGGCUGCUUCUGCCCAAAAUCUUUUGGGCAUAUUUUUCUCAAGCAUCAAGCACCUGCACAUCUCAAGUACUGUGCGAUUUUUUCUUUCACUUACCCCAUUUUGUUGGGGGCAAUAUGGAGCUGUUAGCUGGUGAAAGAUCCCUUCCUUCUCUAAAAAUUUAGAAAAUUCUUGAGAUGUGUACUCACCACCAUUAUCUGAUCUGAGUACCUUGAUUUUCAUACCAGACUCUAACUCAGCUCGAGCUUUAAAUUUCUGGAACCAACUGAAAGUUUCUGACUUCUGUUUCAUAAAGAAUAUCCAGCAGAACCUGGUCAGAUCAUCUAUAAAUGUAACAAAGUACCUGCUCCCAUUUAAUGACUCUUCACUUAGAGGACCUCCAACAUCUGAAUGGAUAAGAUUAAGCUUAUCCUUUGAUUUGCUAAAACUGGCAGUGGGAUAAGGCUUUCGAGUUAUUUUUCCAAGCUGACAAGUUUGGCAAAUAGGGCCACAUUCUGAUAAUUUGGGAAGCUUAUCUGCAAGACCUGAAUUACUCAACUGUAUCAAUGAAUUAUAAUUGCAGUGACCAAAUCUCUUGUGCCACAGAGAAGUCAAAUUUGAGUGAACUUCUGUUGCCUGCAAACAUGCAUCUUUCCAGUUCACUGGGAAACAAUUUUGUUUCAUAGAGAUGUUCAUCAUAUAAUCACCAUUAGGAGCAUAAAUAGUGCAAGACAUAUCUUUAAACAAUAAGACAUAGUUAUGCUUAAGCAUUUGUCCUACACUUAAUAGAUUUUUAGUGAUUUCUGGCACUAAGAGAACUGCAAACUCAUACCUGGCACCAGAAGAAGUUUGAAUUGGCACUAACCCUUUUCCUGUUGCUUGCAAAUAAACACCAUUCCCAAUCUCAACUUUCGAACGGUAUUAAUCAUCUAUUUCAACAAAUAGCUUCACAUUUGGAGUCAUGUGAUUUGAAGCUCCACUGUCCAAAAGCCAAAGGCUUGCAUCAACAGUUUUUAAAUUUCCAGUUUGAGCCAUAAACAAAUGCUCUUCAGCUGUUUCAGCUUUCUCAACUGGUUCAUCAGCCUUGACUUGAGUCUCGACUUUGUUUUUGCAAACUCUCUGUACAUGCCCCAAUUGGUUACAAUUUCUGCACCUCACAUUUGGUCUAAACCAACAACUAGCCUCAGCAUGACCCUUUCUCUUGCAGUGAGAACAUAUAUGAGCCUUGCCUUUUUUCUGUUGAUUUCUGUAUACAGAUUGAACCCCUUUAUCUUUCUCUUUCUGUUCAACAGGACCUUUUCUUGUGCUUGUCUCUCCCACUGUUUUUCCUUUCAUUUUAGCAAAUAGGACAUUUGCAGUUACACUCUCACUUCUCAUAACUCUCCUGUGUUCAGCAGCUUGGAGAGCAUAUGCAACAUCUGAUAGUGACAUUUUGGAGAGUUCCCUUUCCAGAGAAGCAACUGUUGCUUCAAAUCUUUCUGGUAGAGAUACAAGAGCCUUUUGAACAACUAUUUUUUCUGAAAUAUCCUCUCCCGAGAGUCUGAGUUGAUUAACAACUCUCAUAAGUCUGCUGAUGAAGUCUUUUGCAUUUUCAGAAUCCUUCAUUCUCAUUGUAUCAAACUCCCUAGUCAAGUUCAUAAUUUGCAUGUCUUUGGUUCUUUCAGAACCUUCAAACUGAACUUUCAGUCUUUCCCAAGCAUCUUUGGCAGUUUUACACCCCAUAAUUCUUACAAACAUAGCAUCUGUAAGAGCUCCCUGGAUGUAAGACAAGGCUCGGAAUCGUUUAGCCACUUCCUCGUGGUGCUGCUUUACUUGAGCAGGGGUUGCAUUAUCCUUCAAAGCUGGAACUUCAGCUCCUGAUUCAACAGCAUCCCAGAGGUCCAGACCCCUAAGAUAUGACUCCAUUUUCUCAAACCAAAUUGGAUAAUUUUCUCCAUUGAACGCUGGAGGUGAUUGAAAGCUGAAUGCAGUAUUUGAUGGAGAGGGAGAGGCCAUAGUUUUUCAAGUGAGUGUAUGGUUUAUUUCAGAGAAAGUGUUACUUGGAUUCAACUGUCUAUACGGUCCCUUAAGAGCUUAAUUCAGCUCUGAUACCAUGUUGAGAUUGCAGUCAAACAAGGAUAUAGGCUACUGAUAUUAGCCUCUACUUUGUUGAUGAAACAGAGUUUGCAUAAAAAACCAUCAGAACUUUUUCAUUUCAUUGUUUUCACUAUAUAUAUUUACAGAACAGUUAACAUGCACAUAGAAACAUCAUUAACACUUGUCAAACUAAACAAACAAGUGUAGAGCAUCAGUUACAAGGUACAUGCAUAACACCACGUAUGGUGUUCUUUGUACAGCACAACAAAAACAAUUUCCUGCACAGCAUUUAAAUAACAAAAAACCAUGUCUCUGUCUUUACUUAGACACUUGCAAGCAUUACAUUCAACAGAGAGGUGAUACUCCUUUUGCCCUGAGCUGGUGGCAGGGGUUUUUAGGAGUAAACCAUCUGCUAGCCGCAUUUGUUUUCUGCUCAAUGAAUUUAAGCAGACCUUUGCUUUCAAAAAGAUAGUCUUGAGAAACAAGGAGAGUGAAUUGUUCGAUGGAUUUGAUGGCCGGAUGGUCUGGAGAAACAAGUCAAGUAAAUGUUUGGAUUCUUCCAAAUGGUUGAAUUUGCAGGCGAAACCCAAGGAUCGAGGGAAGGCUAGAUCAAAAAUUUUGAAGGCCAUAGUGAGUACAGAUACAGAAACUGUUGUUGUCCCUUCUUCACUUUUUGAUAAAGCAGGGGGUCUGCCAUGGUUCAAUGGGGAAAUGAAAAUCCCCAUCUACAAAUUCUUCACUCCUGCCAAAAUGGCGUAGGACCUCCAUUAUGAAGCAAGCAUCAACUAACAUCAUUUCAACGAAUUCGGCGCUGGACAUUGACAAAUCCUCUGAGUAACAUCUUCUUGUACGUCGUUCCAGUUUCACCAUCGGUCGGACAUAGAAGCAUAAAUCUUUGCCUUGGUUUCUUGUCCGAGACAGAAAUUUCUCAAGAAAUGAAUACUUGUAUUUGUCAAGUGGAAGGUUUUUACCCCUAUGGUAAGGCCCUAUAGGGUUGAAAAUGCCCUCCCUGAAAAAUCGGUUAACCAUUUAUUUUUUUCAUUUUUGCCUCUGUCAGGGGCGAUUUUCAGCACCUGGCAGUGCGUGUUUUUUUGGUUUUGCCCUUGUACGAAUCGUUCGCGGUUGUUUUGCUUCCCUGCUUAGCCAGCUGGCUUUUCAAUUUCCCUCUGGAAUGUUCGUCAUAUUCAUUCUAAUCCUGGCUUAAUUCUGCUUAAUUAGAGUGUUUGAUCUGUUUUUAAGCUAAAUUAAUUAAUAACACUUGUUUUUGGGUCCAGGCUUUAGUAAUGGGUACAGGACACAUCAGGCCCAAUACAAGUACUAAGUUUUAAAAGUAAUAGAAAAUAAAAUGAAAUAAAAACAAAAACUAAAAAUUAAAAAAAUAAAGAUAAAAAUUAAAAUCAAAGUAAAGUACAAUAAUCAAAAUGGUGUUUACAAGGGCAAGAAAUAAGUUUUAAAAAUAACAUGUCUACAAGGGCGAGAAAAAAAUUGUAAACAUAACGUCAAUUAAAUAUUGGUCAAUCAAUAUUUCCGAUUCUUGAAUGAUCGAUUUUUGACUUUCAUCUAAUUCUGAUUGCCAUUGGCACCAACGAAUUAUAAUUACCGGUACCAGACGCAAUGUCAAAGAAGCCAAACUUAACCAGUAGGAAGCACAGCAAAGGUUGGUGAUACAGAAUAAAACAAUCCUGGGAUCUCUCAAACAAUGGCGCAGCCAAGUAAUUCCAUCCCCCUCACGAUAGCGGUUUGUUUCCAUUAUUGUCUUGUAGAGGUAGGAAUCUUGAAUAUUGUCAAUAUCAGAAUCAGAAAUAUUAGGUUGAAGAGAAUUGAAAGAAGACGCCACCUGUACGUCGUCGUUGGAAAAUCUAGAGAUAAUUCCAUCUGAACAUAGGCACUCUACAUCAGUCGGACAUUUAAUCAAACUGCUCAUGAAAGAGGCAUAAGCGGUCAAAUCUUUGGAGCGUCCAGUAGAACAAUGCUCCAAGGCCACGCCGUUAACAAGGAUGACGAUAAAGAGAUCAUUGACGGUUACAGGUGGGAUUUCAAGCACUCCGUCCUUGAAUUGGAUAUCCGUGAACCUAUCGGCUCUUCGUGGCCUGAACUCUAUACCUGACUCUAGGAGUUCCCGUGCACUUUUUGAGAGAUGAACCUGUUCAAGUUUGGCUGUCUUUGAGGUUGAUGGUUUCGAAUGCUUAGACAGUUGAUAUUCCUUUUGCUUUGAGCUGGUGGUAGAGGUUUCUAGAAUUUGACUGUCUGCUACUUUUGUGAUGCGCAUUUGGUACCUACUUCUGAUGUAAUGGAGAAGUAAGUAACAAACUGAAAUGAUAUCCUUGAGAAACGAGGGGAGUGAAGUCGUCGAUGGUUUUGAUGGGCGGAUGGUCUGGAGAAACAAGUCAAGUAAAUGUUUGGGUUCUUCCAAAUGGUUGAAUUUGCAGGCGAAAUCCAAGGAUCGAGGGAAGGCUAGAUCAAAAAUUUUGUAGGCCAUAGUGAUUACAGAAACAGAAACUGUUAUGGUCCCUUCUUCACUCUUUGAUAAAGCAGACAACUCUUCAAGAAUAAAGAAAGGAAUUUGGUUCUCUAGCAAGAGCAGGUCUCGAACCAAAAUGGGGGUCUGCCAUGGUUCAAUGGGGAAACUUAAAUCCCCAUCUACAAAUUCUUCACUCCUUCUGCCAAAACGGCGUAGGACCUCAAUUAUGAAGCAAGCAUCAACUAACAUCAUUUCAACGAAUUCGGCGCUGGGCAUUGACAAAUCCUCUGAGUAACAUCUUCUUGUACGUCGUUCCAGUUUCAUCAUCCGUCGGACAUAGAAGCAUAAAUCUUUGCCUAGGUUUCUUGUCCGAGACAGAAAUUUCUCAAGAAGUGAAUACUUGCAUUUGUCAAGUGGAAGGUUUUUACCCCUAUGGUAAGGCCCUAUAGAAGCCAAUUGAGGCUCUUGGAAUGCUAAUCCAGGAAAAGGAGUUCUAAAGAUGCAGGGAGAAGAGGUAUUACAAGAUCUAUCUCCAUAAUGAUUGACUUGCGUGUAUGCCAUAAGCCGCAGUCGUCGGGAUCUGCUGGACCUUGGCAGGAAAUCUUUUGCAGUUGCCUGUGAAUAACGAUGUCUUUAGUUUCUCAAUUCUCAAACGAAAAAAACAACGGGGAAUUAACUUUUAAAACUAAUAAUAGGAUACUUCUCUAAAUAGGUAAAAACUAUACAUACAUACAAUAUAUAUAUAUNNNNNNNNNNNNNNNNNNNNNNNNNNNNNNNNNNNNNNNNNNNNNNNNNNNNNNNNNNNNNNNNNNNNNNNNNNNNNNNNNNNNNNNNNNNNNNNNNNNACUAUAUAUAUAAUAUAUAUAUAUACUAUAUAUAUAUAUAUAUAUAGUAGUAAUUAUAUUAUAUAAGAACACAGUUUAAUAUAAUCUUAACCAAACUGUAAAAGAAAUUUUAUUUUAUAUCAUGAUCAUAAAUAAAUAUCCAUCCAAAAAGAAAAUGUUUACAUCCGGAUGGAGCUGGAAUUCCAGUUCCUCAUGGUGAGAGUUGUCUUGAUCUUGACGGGUUGAAAUACGUCUUCCCCGGUCCUCGUCUUCCUCGUUCUUCUUGCUAGUCGAGCUCCUACGCUUCAUUGGUCCUUUCACUUCUCUUUGCAAGGCAAAUUGCUUUAAUGAGGUAACGGACCAAAGAAGAGACCUUCUCCAGGUUGCAGAUCUAGUGUUUUUGGUUUUAAAGACAGUUGGUUUGUCUUAAAAGCAAAAGGAAAGGCAAAGUGCAUGGAAAGAGUGAAACCUGAGUUGCCUUUUAUCGGAUUCCCGGUAGCUUCCUUUUUAAUAUGUAAUAAAAGGAAAAUACAGCUAUUCAUAAAUGGACAUAAGGUAUAAGACGUUUUUGAGAAUGAUCUUUUUUAUAAUUUUAAUUAUUUUUAGCUAGGAGAAAAAAAAUGAUAAAAUUAUCUUUAAUGAAAUCGACUCAUUCGUUAGGCUCCGCGCCUCAACCCGAACAACUUGAAACCUAUUAAUGGGUCAAGUAUGUCCUUUAUGUGAACCACAACUGUUCAGUUUUCAUCGAGAGACCAUACAUAUCCACAGAAGCAAGUCUGCAAAAGCAUUCCUCGACAGUUCAACUUUCAAUCAUUUUGGCAGUGGUAGGAGCCUUUUGGAGUGGUUAUUAUUCGCACAAAGGUAGUUCACAUAUUGAGCAGUGUGAGGAAGUUGACAUUACGUUAAGAAAGGUAUAAUAUUUUUUUAUGAAUUUUUUUAUUUUAUUUUGAACCAUGUAGAGGUUUUUGACAGAAUGGUUAUUGUUUAUGUUUAGGGUUAAAGUUUUUGAGCAUAAACCUAUACAUAUUACACAUUCAUAUUUAUAUUUAUGUUGUUUGAAAUUUUGAAUAUAAACAUGAAGGUGGUAUUGUUGGUGUUUAGGGGUGGAAAGGUGACCGACCAUGCGUGACUGGUUGAUAUGUAUGUGUUAGGAAUUCGGUUGAGGGUUUAGAUGUUGCGUGAGUGAGGGCGUGCUUAUGUGGUUGGCACCUUUUGCUUGAGUGGAUUUUGGCAUGGGGUCACGUUGCGGUUGCGUGAUUGAAAAAGGGUUCAACUUAGCAUGACUGAUUGAUAGGUCAUUGCGUGACUGGUUUCUAUGUUAUUGCGUAAAUAUUGUUUUGGCAUGGCGUCAGUUAGUGUGUGUGUGAUUCGAUUAGUUGUUCUUAGAAUUACGUGACUUGUUUAUAAAUCAUUGUGUGAUUUAAUGUUAGUAAUUGUGUGACUAAUUGAUUAGGCAUUGCGUGACUAUUGUUGUAGGAAAUUGCACGAGUGUCAUAACCACAUAAAAUUUAUCUGCAUGGAUUCAUUCUGUAUUAUUUUGGGUCAAUUGUAAUGCUUUAAUGUGUAUAUGUUGAUUUACUUAAUAAUCCAUGCUCCACACUUGGAUUAAUUAUUCUGUUUCAGGGAUUCUAAAAACAGUUAAAAAUAUUGUUAUGGUUAUUUUUUGAGUGAGCUUAUGAAAAGGGUCAUUUCUCAGAAAUUUCUCUAGUUUUUUUGUUAAUCUACAAUUAUGGUAUUAACAUGACUAAAAUGGGAAUGUUAUCUGUUUUAUGUUGCAGAUGGCCAGCAUAGGAACAGAGCAGGAAAACAUGGAGUCCUUGCUUUGUGUGCCGAGGCACCAGUGGGGGUUAAAUGCUUUCAUUAAAAUCCACUGUAAGUGGUCGCAUCUGCACGUGAUACGUGAGAUACUGUGUCAAGUGAACGAGCUGGAAAACUUUAAGAGAACAUGCUUUGGGCACAUGAUGGAUGUUGAAGCAAACAAGGGUUUAUUCUGCGCCAGUCUAGUGCACAAUCUAAUGCUGCGCAGAAUCAACGAACCUGACUCCACGGAGGUAGAGUUAUGGUUCGUAAUAGGGAAAAUGACGGUCAGCUUUUCUAAAAAAGAGUUCUGUCUAAUGACAAGACUGAAGUUCGGUCCCCUAUCAGCCCUCAUUGUCAAUCGGUACAAGGCCCUUCCUGGAGGAAUUCACUUAAGAUAUUGGGGACUGGGGAAGGAGGUGAAGAUCCAACAGGUUUUAGAUACGUUGAAGGGAGGGCAGUUUUAGCAGGAGGGAGACGCGAGCAAGAUGGCCUUCAUCUUGAUCACGACCAAUGUUUUUUUCGGUCAAGACUACAGAUGAUCUAUGGUUCCAUGGUUGUUGUUGCUGGUUGAGAACAUCGACGAGUGGAAUGCAUUCCCAUGGGGCACAUAUGUAUGGAGUCUGACCGUGGAUUACCUACUGAGGGGUUUCAAACCUCCUGCUGCGGGUGAAGCAGAGAAGAAGCGCUACCACCUCUACGGAUUCAUAUGGGCUUUUCAGGUAGUCUGUCAUAGCCUAAUGUUUAUCAUUAUCAUUAUUCUUUUCGUAUAAGAAUUUAUGAGGUGAGUAAAAAUGUUACACAAUUGAUGUGCAGUUUUGGGCGUUGGAAGCAAUACCUGAAAUCAGAAGCUUGUUCGGUAGGCAGCAGUAAUCCUGACAAGUUUGGCCAAGAAUGCUUAAAUGGCAAUGUGACGAGAGGCCUUUACGUUUCCACUCCAAUAUUGCAAGUUUGGAGAGAGAAUGCAAGGUGAGUAAAGAAACCAUAUUUUUUUAUUUUAUUAAUUUUUAUUUUGAUUAUCAUAGGGUAGCUGAAGUUAUACCUAAUGGUAAUGUAUGUUUUGGUGCAGUUGUGGGCAGUGAGGACGUUGGAGCCAACGGCGUAAGAGAUGUUGACCGCAUAAUGGGCGGACAUUGAGGUCAAUAUCUCCGAGGAGCAGCAAUACAUUCCAUUAUGGAAGUUAGAGGGUCCGCCAAAAUUCGGUCCCCAACAAAAGAGGAAAAUAAUGGGUCGAAAAAGGAAAAGUCCAGUACGACGAGCCGUUAAGUUGAGACGCACCACAGACGAGAAGGUCCAUUCCAAGCGAGGUGCUGCUGAGGCACCUCAUUCUCCUGCUGUAGCUCUUCAUGGUGCAUCUCCUCCUGCUACUGCUCCUCCUACUUCUGCUACUGCCACUCAUCCUGCUUCCGAUGUUACUCCUCAUGCUGAGCCAUGCAAUCGGGCGCUCCAUCCAUAAAUGACUACAAGCAUUAAGGGAGAGCUGUAAAAGAUGCAGACACAGUGGAAGAAAGACCUCCAGUCCUUGCUGACGAAUAUGCAGAUGCAGUCAAUGAAGUUGGAGAUCUAGCAGUCAAUGUAGUUGGAGAUCCAGCGGGCGAUGCCGAUGUAGACGCAAUCACUGUAAAAGCAUAUCAAACACUCACUGUAAGGGCUGGAAGAUCGGAUUGUCGAUCUGUUGAUUGACCAUUUUGAGGUAUGAGGUUUUACGUUAUUCAUCGCGUGAGUUAUAACAUGUAUGAUGGAUACACUGUUCUAAUGUGUUUGAUUUCAUUGAUCGUUUAAGGUCAAAGCUCACCUCCCGGUAGCCCGAUUGAACAUUAUCCUACGGCUAUCCCAUCUUCGGUAGAGGCAACCCAGCAUUCUCAGCCCACACUUUCUCCCAAGGCUCCACUUCCUCGAUCUGAGGUUGAAGAGGUACCUCAUCCUGCGAGUAAUGGAACUACAACUUCCUCGCGUCCUGCUCCUGUCCCAACUCCAGCAGAGGCCCCCCCGCAUGGUGAGAUCAGACCUUUUGCUGAGCGUCCACCUCGACCUGAGCUCAAAGAUACACGUGUGAUCUUGGCCAGUAAAUACAUUCGAAGCCCGUACGUUAACCCACUAUUAGUUUAGAGCAAAGCGAAGGACGAUUUGAAGGACAAAUAUGAGUCCUUCCUGAAAAAUGACCAAGCCAGGUAAAAUAAAAACAGUGGACCAUAUUAAGGUUAACGGUUUUAGGAUAUUUAUUAAACAGUCCGCAAUAUUAUAAUUUUAAUAUAACUCUAUUUUAAAUUUGCAGGGUUAGCAUUCUGGGCAUCAAAGGGUAGGAGGGCCUUGAUUUUUUUUUACGAUUAGAGAUGCCGACAGAGUUGAUGAACACCCAACAGAUUGAUGCAUGCAUCAGUGUGUUGUGUAAGUGGGCACGCGAGCACCAUCCACAACACUACAAGCAGAGAAUAUUGAUCGUUGACACCACAUUCUAUGUAAGUAUAUUAUAUUUUAUUGAGUUGUAAUUAUUCAAAUGUAUGGGAUUUAAGGUUACUUAAUUACAUCUAACUAUUGUGCAUAACGUAAUUGACAGCUUAUUUUGCUCCAUCUGAGCGAAGAAAUGCAACCUUCCCCUACCGAUAAGACAUUCAAGCCAAGUGAGGCAGUUAUGCCAAACGAGCUACUUAGUAUGCAAGGGGUGGGAGACCUCCAUGGGGUUUGCCAUGGCAUGAGGUUGAUGCAAUUCUUGUACCGUGCUUUUUCAACAACCACUGGGUGGUAGUGCACGUUAACUUACUGAAAUGGACUAUGAUGUUAGUGGGCUUAUCGUACGGUUAGAAAGAAGCAGUGAAUUUUGGCUUGUGUGAUAAGCAGAUGAGUCCACUAACAUCAUUGUUUCCCAUUAUAUGCCACCAGGCAAGGUACUUUGUCAGCUCGCUUCGUCAAAAGCAAGGUUUGACGCGGAUGAAAUAUAGGUUAAAUGAGAAGACCUCGAUACAGCAAGAUUCUCACAAUUGCGAGGAUUGGGUUAUAGCCUCGUUGCAAUGGUUGAUCGGCUUGGAGGAUCAGACGAUGAAGGCAAACGCCAUAGAGGGCAUUAAAACAAACUUUGCCCUUGAGAUUUUUGCCACUAGCUCAAGUUGUUAAAUUUUUUAAUUUGUUUAUUCUUUUUCAUUCCAUAAUUAACACUAACAUUAUUCUGUAUCAUCUCCAUAUUAUUCUUUGUUGUAUCAUUUACAUAUUAUUCUUUGUAUUCAUUCAUGUGAUACGCAUACGGGUUCAAUAAGAACAACAUUGUUUCUUUCUUAUUCAUAUCGUAAGGUCUGUUAGUAUUUUACACAAUUUACAUGACAGCAUUCAUUCGUUUGCAUAUGCCAACCCCCAUUUGCUUCUUUACUUUAUAGCCUAUAUGACAUGUUGAAUUGCAUUGCAUGACAUAAAGUUGUAAGCAGUUGCUAUUGAAUGGCGUGAAUGGUGUGGAUGGAAUCGCUUCACCAAAUGAAAUUGAUUAUCGGGAGUAUUUGUUAUGGAGUCACGCGAGUACUAAAUUUUGAACCAGGUCAUUAUUAAUAUGGAAUCGCGUCACAAAUCCACUUGAAAUUGUGUGAGUAGUAAAUAUGGAUCGUGUGAACAGUUAAGAUUUAAAUCACGUGAGUAUUUGAUAUUUACUCCCGUUAGUAGUAAAUAUGGAGUGGCGUUACUAGUUAAUAUGAAAGAACGUGACAUGAGUUUUUUGUAGAAUUGCUUGACUAGUUGAUAUUGACUUGCGUGACCGAAUAUUAUGGAAUUUCAUUACCAGUUUAUAUAGAUUCGUGUGAGUAGUAUGUAUGGAGUGGCGUUACGAAUUCUUAUUGAAUCGUGUGACUAGAUGAUAUGGAUCGCGUGAACCAUUAAGAUUUAGAAUCGCGUGAUUAUUUGAUAUUUACUCUCGUUAGUAAUAAAUAUGGAGUGGCGUUACUAGUUAAUAUGAAAUCAUGUGACAUGACUUUUUUGUAGAAUCACGUGACUAGUUGAUAUUGACUCUCGUGACUGAAUAUUAUGGAAUUACGUUACCAAUUUAUAUGGAGUCACGUGAGUUGUAUGUAUGGAGUGGUGUUACGAAUUCUUAUUGAAUCGCUUAACUAGAUGAUAUUGCAUCGUGUGACUCACCUAUUCUGUGUCAUGUUCUUCGAAUAAGGGUAAGCUAAUUACCAUGGACAGUAUCAAACCUUAACUCAACCCUAAGCACCAUCAUAACAAAAUAUUGAGUUAAAGAAAACUAAAUACCACAAGUGAAUUAUGAAAUACAAACUACAGUAUCCAUAAUCUAGUUAACCCACAACUCUCAAAUAUGAAUGCUCAUCUGGAAUGGUUAACUCAGCCAGAACCAAUGACAACUGACUUCCUUUUUCUCUGAGGUUAAUGUCGGAGAAACUCAUCUGAGGACAGUCAAUUCUACCGCACUUUUGCUGCCCAAAUAGUUGUAUCUGUUCUUUGCAUUAGAAGAUUCUCAACAUUCUGCAUCCUCAAUUUCAAUGCCUGCAUUGUAGCAGUUUGAUUACUGAGUUUCUCAUCAAUCCUCAGAAGCAUAUUAUACAUUACAUCAUUGGAAACAGGAACUCUAUACAAUUGUCUGGAUGGAGUAUCAUGGGCAGGAUGAACUGGGCUACCUUCGACAAAGAUCGAUGGCUCAUCAAGACUCAAGUCAUAUCCCCUUUUCAUGAGCCAUCGAAACGAGAGAUUGCGAGGCUUGUGACUGGUCCAAUCAACUAGAUACCUAUUGCUCCAUAUCCCUUUCUUCUUAACUAGAGUCAAUAUGAUGUUCCCGUAUGGAAGGGUCGUCUCUUCCUGCAUGGAAACUUCUCUCAUUGUCGUGAUCAUAUAUUCUACAAUAUUUACGCCAAACUCGCUUCCAAUUGUUUCCAUCAUCCAAAGAUCCUCAGCGCUAACAUGUCUUAAAUUACUGAUCCUUCCCUGUAAUGUGGACACCAGAAAAUUAUGUACCAGCCUAUCUGGGUCAGAAUUCAAAUGACGAGCAAAACAUGACUCUGUGGUGUAUGGUUCUUUUCUACUUGUCACUUGGGCUCACAUGCGGGACGGGUCAUAUGAUGGUGGAAAUGUGUAUUAUCCGUGUUUAUACUCCAUUUUCAGGAGCUUCCCAAUAUCGAAGAGAGUCACUGUAAACUCUAUUCCUCCCAAAAACACAUUCAAAACAAAUGGGUCAAAAUCUCUAGGAUUUUUAAAUUCAUUUUCACUCCGGUGAAUGCUGGAGUAAAAUUCCCUAACAAAUGUCAGGCUAUAAUCAAAAAAAUGGAAAGGUACUUAGACCCUUAAGUUUACCCAUGUCAAAAAAAGAAGAUAGGUCACCCUCAAGGUAUAUGUUUUCUAGUAAGCUUUCCUAAUCUACCACUUUCCCGCAUGAUAUUAUGGCAUUCUUUAUUAUCCAAUACCUACCACCAUGUGAUAUGUCCCUAAACCAUAAAGGAGAGCACAGAUCAUUACCUGGUUGAAUUGAAAAACCAAUUGAUGCGAUAGGUAGUUGAAGAUCUAGUUUCCAUUUCUUCUUUGAUCGUAGGCUGGAGUAUUCAUCAUCACCCAUACUUUGGUCGCCAUUGUCAUGGACAUUGGAUCUGCUCGAAGAUACAGCCAUUGCUUAAGACAGUGUAAGACAGUUCAGCUUUAGUGGUUCAACUUCCCUUCACCUUUAAACUAAGUUUGGAACAGUUAGAAGAUGAAACGGCAACUAUCGAUAGAUAUUGAGAAGACUGAAAUAUGAAAGAAACGGUUGGAAGCUAUCUUAUGCACUUUAUGUUUUUUUAUUACAACGAUUGACAUUAAGGGUGCGUUUGGUAUAAAGGAUGUAAAGUCACAUUUCCUACAAUGUGCCUAAUUAAAUUACAUUGCAGUGUUUGUUUUGUAACAAACCACCACAAUGUAAGAUUGCAAUGCAAUCACAUUGCAGCCAGUGGAUGUAAUGUGAUUGCAAUCCAAAACCAAUGCAAUCACAUUACAUUGCACUCUACAAUGCCUUUAAGGACAUUUUUACCCGUCAUCUUUUAAAAAAACUACUCACAUUUCGAAGCAAAGCAUCGUUUUUGGGGUUGAGGGUCUACUGCUUCUUCUCCAUUUUGCUAAAGUUGCUCCUCCUUUUUCUAGCUCUGCUUCUUCAUCAUUUGAAAUUGUGGGUUAAAAUCUCUCAUUCUUCUUUUUUUUUCUUCUUUUUUUAUCUUCUUCUUGUAUCAAUUGAACUUACAUUAAAUUUUUCUAACAUAUUCCCUGCAUAUAAAAAAUGGAUCCUUUUAUAUGUUGUUUUUAAAUUGAAUAUUUGUAAGGUGGACAUGAAAAGUUAACUUUGUGCUUACUAGAUGCUGUUUUUAUAUAAUGUUUAUAUUUCAUUAUUUUAAUUAUUUUUUGAUAUUGUUAGUUCACACAAUGGAAGGGUUUUCUCAAGAGCAAACUGCAAUGAUCGUCUCUACUAUUGUAUUAGCCAUUGAGCUAUUCAAUAUGAUACUUUUAGCUAAUACUUUGGUUCAAGGAUGUUAUCAUAUUUUAAUGUAUACUAGAAGACGUAAAAGAUCUAAAACUAGUAUGUAUAUGAGACAUAUUAUUAGGCAAUUGAAUUUUAGGAGAAUGGUGUUUGAUUCUGAUUUAACAUGCAUUGAAAAUAUUAGAAUGGACAGAGCUGCAUUUUAUAAAGUAUGUAAUAUGCUUCAAUGCAUUGGUAGGCUUACACCAACAAAAAACAUGAAUCUUGAGGAAAUGGUGGCUAUCUUUUUGUACAUCAUUUCUCAUCAUGCAAAGAAUAGGAUCAUAAAGAAAGAAUUUGUUAGAAAUGGUGAGACAGUGAGUAGACAUUUUGGCUUAGUUUUGAAUUCUGUUUUAAAAUUGCAAUCAAUACUUCUAAAGAAGCCAGAGCCUGCACCCGAGAAUUCAAUUGACUUCAGAUGGAAAUGGUUUAAGGUAAACUAAAAUUUCUUAAACAUAACUGACUUGAGUAUAAGAAUCUAUUAAAAAUGCAACUAAAGGAUAAUUUUUAUCAUUAUUCUAUUGGAAACAAUAGAAUUGUUUAGGUGCUUUAGAUGGAACUUGCAUUAAAAUCAAUGUCUUAGAAAUUGAUAAGCCUAGAUACAGAACAAGGGAUAAUGAAAUUCCUACAAAUGUGUUAGGGGUAUGUUCACAGGAUAUGCAAUUCAUAUAUAUCUUACCUGGAUGGGAGGGUUCUGCUUCAAACUCUAAGGUUCUUCGAGAUGCAAUAUCUAGAAGAAAUGGAUUGAAAGUCCCAAAAGGUAUGAGGAAAAUAUACAUUAAACUAUUAACUAUUUUAGCACGAUAUUGUUCAGAGUGAUGUAUUAAAAAUAAUUUUUUUUAUCAUAGGUUUUUUCUACUUAUGUGAUGCUAGGUAUACAAAUGGAAAGGGAUUUUUAACUCUAUAUAGAGGUCAGCGUUAUCAUUUGAAUGAAUGGAGACAAAACCGCACUCCUCAUUCAAAAGAAGAACUGUUUAAUUACAAACACUCUGGUGCUAGGAAUGUUAUUGAGAGAUGUUUUAGAUUCCUGAAGAUGAGAUGAGCAAUACUUAGAGAGAAGUUUUGGUACCCAGUGAAAACAAAAUGUAGAAUUAUCUCUGCUUGUGCAUUGUUACACAAUCUCAUUAGGAGAGAAAUGACACAUGAUCCACUUGAGGAUGAAAUGGAUAAAGAGUAUGUGGAAUCAGAAGUGAUGGAAAAUGCAGAUACGAUCCAAUGCAUUGAGACAUCAAAUGCAUGGACUACUUGGAAAAAUAACUUGGCACAAGAAAUGUGGAAUGAUUGGAUAGCUUCUAGAAAUGAAACUUAAUUUUUUAUUUGGUUCAACAAAUUGUAUGCUUUAUUUGUAAUAACUCAAAUUUAUGUUGAUUGAGACAUAUUUGUAUUUCUUCUUAAUUAGAUAAGUUAUGUUUCUUCUUUAAUUUUUGAUAAUGUUCUUUGUAUACUAUAUAUUUGUUAUUAUGCCAUUUCUAUAUUAUGUUUUGUACUUAUAGAUGGAAGUUGCAUCAUCUCAAGAACAACUAUUACUAUUAUUAUACAUCAUUUUUUGGGCAAAAAUAUGAAGCAGGAUGCCUAAUCAAUCACGCAAAUAUUAUUAAAUGAAAUAUUUUAUGCUUUAUUCAAUGGUUUACAAUGAAAUUCAAAUUAUUAAGGAGUACAAUGAAUUUGAUGGUCCAACAAAUAGGCUAACUACUGUAAUUGGAAUUUGAUGAUCCAACUAUGCAAUGGCAUUUUCGUAAAUAAUGGGAACUGUAGUCAACAAUAGAAAAAAUAUUUAAUUUUUUCCAGCACUUUAUCCUCGCUUCCAGCAACUUCUUCUUCUUCUUCCCAUCCUUCUUCCUUAAUAAACGUUUUCUAUGUUGCAUGGAAGCCAUCCCUUGAAACACCCAUACUUUCUCAAAGUAACUUCAAUUCUCAUGCUUUGGUAUAUUUUUUCAAACCUCCACAACUAGCAUAAGGUCUUUCUCUUCCAUAUGGACAUCUUGUGUAUCUUACUUUUCAUUCAAACUCUGUCAAACUCAAGUUGAAAUAGUAUUAUUCAAUGCAAAUAUCAAUGGCAACUUCGAAACAAUCCCUAACAACUGACGUCUGAAGGGCCACUAUCUUCAAGUAUGACACUAAUAACGUUAUCAAAGUUUGUAGUCCGUAUUGGACAGUGGUUUCAUUUGUGCCCGGGUUGUCUGCAAAUUGCACAUGCCUUGGGUCGAUGUCGUCGAGCCGUCGGCUGAGCAGAUGAUGUUUCCCUGUUUGUCGGUAGAGAUGCAAACAGAGUCUAGUAAUUUUGUCUAUUAUAACCAUAGCUCUAGCAUUGUGAACAUCUACGUCGUCCGUUGCCUUCCCCAACUGAUGGAAUCUUUUUCCUUCUAGGUCUUCCCGCUUGACCUCGCCAACUUGGUGGCAAAACGUAAAUUUAUUGCACGUCAUCAGGGAUGUCUUACUCACUAGGAUGCCCAACCAAGUGAAUGGAAACCGCAUAUCUCUCCUCCCAAGAUCGAGUCUUGUAAUAGUCCAAGCAGAAUUCAAUGGCUGCACGUUUGCACUUACUGCUAAGGCAAUGAAAUCACAGAUGGAGAACAAUGUAAAAAUUCAAUUCACCAUGCACAAUAUAACAAAACAUGAUUGCUCAUACCUUAUUGCUACCAUGGCAUACGUGCAGGGGGUAGAUCAGACUGGAACUCACUGCACGAACACUCAUUGGUGGAGAGGUUCACGACUCUAUCCUUACUCCUACCUAUAACUUGAAACUCCACCCGAUCGAUUGCUUGUACGAAAAAGUGACAUACUUCAUUGAACCGACUGUUCAACAGAUCGGUAGCCCAAGGGCUGAAAGGCAUGGUCAAAUUCAAUGCCUCAUUGUGCCGGUUAUGGAACCAACGUUGAAACAUGCAUCUGAUGCACUCGAUCAAGACCGUUAUUGGCAUUUUUCUUGCAUGCCUUAGGUAGGAGUUAAUACACUCCGUAGUGUUAGAUGUCAUUAGCUUGUAUCGCCUUACUGGUGAUUGUGCACGUGCCCAUCUCUCAAGGCCUAAUCUCAUAAGGUUGUCAUAAGCAGGUUUGCAAAGCUAUUUCAGCUGAUUCAUAUGUUCGUCAAAAUCGAUGACUCUAUAGCAGUUGGAGGCCAUGGUGAAAAUCGCUGCAACAUCUUCGCGCUUAAACAUGUUUUUAACGUUUUUCCUUAAGUGGUAAUUGCAUAGACCGUGAUGAGCGUCCUUGUACACUUUCUCAACUGCAUUCUUAAUGCCAAGAUGCUGAUCAGAAAUGAACAUUGCUUUUUCAGAACAACCAAUCGCACGACGCAAUUGGUUAAGAAACCACGACCAAGACUCUUUGUCUUCAACGUGGCCAAUGCUAAAUGAAAAUGGAUAUAUCUGCUCAUUCGCAUCUCUGCAUACCACCACAAAUAGAAUACCCUUGAAUUUACCUUUUAGAUGUGUGGAAUCAAUAGCGACUACAGGCCGCAUUACAGCACUAAACCCACGAAUACAUGAACCGAACGCCCAGAAACAAUAUUUGAAUUGUUGUUCCCCAUCAAUAGUGACACAUGUCACAGUACUGGGAUUUUCACGUUCCAACAUAUGGAAAUACGAGGGGAGGAGUUGGAAUGACUCUUCCGAUGGAUCGAACACAAGACUCUCCGCGUACUCCUUCGCUUACCAGGCCUUACCAUAUAGGCAUUGCAAUUCGCACUGCGAUUCAUCUCUUCCAUUAUUUCCUUUGGUCUCAAUGGGAUUACACAAUUUCCUUGCACCCUAUUGGAGAGAAGCUCACCAAUUACCCUCGCGCUCGCAGUUUGGUACCCACAUUGCAAACCAUCGACAGUACACGUGUGUACCUUAUGCAACGUCCGAACUUGCUAAUAUUCUCCCUCAGGCAAUUUCGUUGCACGCAAAGCAAACUCAUGCCUUGUCCUUACAACUAACCUCAAAACAAGCGUGACAUGACUUUUUAACUCUAAACUCAAAAUGCUCUUUUAGUGCCAACAUGCUCAAAGCUUGUUUCAAUUCAGCCUUCGAUAGAAACACUUGUUCUCAAAAUAAGUGGUCGCCCAUUGAUCUGGAUUCCUCACUCCUAACUGUUUGGAAGGAUAUCAUAUCUAGCCCAGGAAUAAUCCAUUGAUAAGAUACCCCUAUAUUUAUCCUCUCUUCAUCACCAUCAUUAGGCGAAUGAAUGCCGUUCUCAAGUGCGAUGGCGUUCUCAUAAAUAGGGUCACCCUCAACAACUUCUAAUUCAACGAUUCUACAAUGGUCGUCCAACUUAAUCUCUUCUAACACAACAGUUGUGGUAUGACCUCUACCGCUAUCUGCAUGAUUGCAAUCAGGAAUGUCGGUCUGCUCAACCCUGUUGUCCUUUAAACGGUCUUCAUGUCCGCCAACGUAAUCAUCUUCACAAUCAUAAUGUAACUCAUGGUUCCGAUCCGCCGUGUCGUCCUCUUCAACAUUAUCUUCAAUCUUAUCAGAUGCAUCAUCAUCACUCACAACCAUCACAGUGUUGUUUACUAAUGACAAUAGACCCAAUGCAUUUUCGAGCGACAGUUGUGUUUGUUGCAAGGUACCUAGUAUUUCGUUCGAUGCACAUUCCGAUCAAAAUUGUGCAGACAGCAUUUGUAGACACUUCAUGUGUACGCUGGGCUGCUGAAACUCAUGAGGAUACAUCAAACGUGAUUGCCAUGGUUGUUUGUUAGGAAAUGCAUGGUGUGGUAUGUUAGAAUAAUUAACAUUCUAUUCUUGUUGAUUACUAUGUUGGAUACCGUGCUCAUGUGGAAUAUUGUUUGCAUUUCCUACCUUAAUUGUCACAAACACAACAACUGCCCUCUCAUCUCACAAAAUACUCGUUACAUCUUCAUCAUCCCUGAUAACUGCGCGCAAAACCCCUGCGGCAUGGUUGAGCAAUGCAUGUUGCUCGAUUUCAUUAUUAUGUGAGUUGACCCCAACAACCUCUUCAACCAGCUUCACUAAUCCCGAAAAAUGACAAAUCACUCCCAACACCCCUCACUCGUGUCUCACCACCCUUGUAAGUAUUAUCAACCCAAUGACCACCGUAUACAAUCAUAAGCUUCACAUUUGAUAGAUCGCUGAAAUUUAACACAAAAUAAGUUUCACGAUCAGUCAAUUUAUCAAAAAUAGCCCCUCAAUGCAUAGAAACCACUUAUGCAAUGCCUAAGUCACAUUUGGCCGGCCGCAGAAAUUUAACAAAAAUUAAGUGUUGCAAUGUCUAAUACACAUUAAUGCAAUGCCUAAUAACUAGUGAACAAAUGCCCCUAAAUAAGAGGCGAAUUGCACAAGUCACGCGCCACUGCUCACGCAAUAUAUAACAAUAGGUCACGUAAUAUAUAAAAAUCAGUAACGCAAUCCUAAAAAACUACUGAACAAAAGCCUCUAAACAACACAUGAAUUGCACAAGUAACGUGCAACCACUCUUACAAUACAUAACAACAGGUCACGCAAUAUAUAAAAAUCGGUCACGUAACCCUAAAAAACUACACAUGAAUUACACAAGUCACGUGCCACCACUCACGCUACAAGUAACGUAAUAUAAAAAACCAGUCACACAACAAGCCUAAAAAACUACUGAACAAAAGCCUCAAAACAACACAUGAAUUGCACAAGUCACGCGCCACCAUUCUCACUACAACAGGUAACGCAAUAUAUAAAAACCAAUCACGCACUACCUAAAAAACUACUAAACAAAAGCAACACAUGAAUUGCACAAGUCAGUCACGCACCGUCAGGCUCGCAACACCUAAGAAUAAGUCACCCAAUGAAUAAUAAGCCUCUAAACAAGAGGUGAAUUGCACUAGUCACGCACCACCAGUCUCACAAUACCUAAUAAUAAGUCAAUCAAUGCCUAAUAUCCACUCAAGUUAUGCCAACUUAAAUAAUCACGUACUGACCCAACGUCACGCAAUACAUAACAACAUGUCACCAUAGGUACUCUAUUCCAUAUACAUACAAACCACUUACGCAAUGUCUCAACAAAAGAUAUGCAUAGCACAAUUCACGCACCGCGUAUAACCCACUCUCCCAAUACCAAAUAAUAGGUCACCCAAUGCCUAACAUCCACUCACGAAGUUAUUCAGCAUAAUAUCACUUAAAUGAAGAAAAUAACUCAACGAAAUAUGUGCUCGAUGAAAAUAAAAAUUGCUAUAAUUUUAUUCAAAUUUUAUUAAAAAGACCCCUCCGAAUAUACAAGGAGAUGAUACAAAAAAAAUAAACCAUAGUUCAUUUCUUCAUAAGUUCAUUUACUUUGAACUCUAUCUCAGCGAGCAUCUUUUCGUUGCUCAGGAUGGCAGCCUCCAAGUCAAAAGUCCUUUGCAUCAGGAUGUCAAUGAGGAUUUGAAUCUCCUAUUGGAAUAUGUGCAACUGGUCCCUCACACUCAAGAAUAUGUGCAACUAGUCCCUCACACUCAAAGGCACCUCCUCCUUUUUGGAGGCUACCUCUUUCCCCUUUUCGACUCUUGGAUCUUUGGAGGUCAUUUUUCAAUUAUCUGAGAUUGAUUAAGAUAAUUGAAUUUGAUUCAAAUGGUUAAUGGUUCUCUUUAUUUAUAGGCAUGAAAGCUGACUCUUCAUUUUCUACAGCCAUAUCAAUGCAAUGAAAGGGGGCUGAAUUGGUUAUUAAGUACCUAUUCGGCUUGCCCUUUCAUCUUAUUUACCUCUUAAAAGUAAAAGUCAAGCCAAACAUCAUUUUUCAAGAAAUUCUUAAUAAAAAGUAGCAUAAAGGUUUUCUCUCUUUUUCACUAAUCAACAAGGAUUUUAAUGUUACCUCUUUUCUCUUUUUUUUUUUAAUUUAGGCAUCAUGGUCGACCAACCAAAAUCUAAUACUAUUGCUACUAUACAAGUCUGAAAUUAUACAUAAACUUCAAGAAUUACAUUAGAGCUUAUUAGGUUAUUGAAGAUAAUCAGUAGAGAAUCACCUUCAGCAUUAGGUAGCUAAAGUCAUGCAAUGCCUACAAAUAGGUCACGCAAUGCUCAACAGAUAUUCAGUCACGUAAUAUUAAGUCACAUAACGCUUGUCACGCAACGCUAACAAAUAUUCAGUCACGUAAUAUCUAUAAAAAACUCACGCAAUGCUCAACAAAUAUUCAAUCACGUAUUAACUCUCACGCAACGCUCAACAUAUAUUCAGUCAUGUAAUGCCUAUAAAGAACUCACGCAAUACUCAACAAAUAUUCAAGCACCUAAUGCCAAAUAAACAAGUUACGAUUCCUAAUAUUCAAUCACACACCCUAAUAUCCAGUGACUCAAUGCCUAAGAAACAUUCACGUAUCGCCUAAAAACUGAUUGAUUUCGCUACCCCCAGCCAGAUUUAAGUUUCCAAACUCAUAUAAUUUACCCCUCAAUUUUUUCGUUCUAUGAAUAACCCUAAAUAAACGUAAGAACCCAUAACAAAAACCUUGAUGUCAUCUUUGCACUUUGGGAUCGUGAGAAAGAUGACCGUCAAUAUAGACCUCGAUGGCAUUGGAAAGCUGGACGAAGGGAUAGCUAAAUCUAAAUCGAGAUUUAAUUUUAAAAUUUUAAGCUGAAUGGCAGGAGAGCAGAAAGAAAGAAACUGAGACGCGUCUUCAUUUGGAUUAAUUGGAUUAAAGGAUAUUCUUGUCAAGUUGUAUCAAAAAUUGACUAAAAAUAAUUAAAAUUAUAGAGACGAUUAUUUUUGAAGUCAUCUUACUACGAAAGUCAUUUCUCAUAAUUUUCUCAAAGGAAAAAUACAAAUCUAUCCUAACGUUAAAAAGUACAAAACAAUUAGACUUGGUGGCUAAUUUUCUCUAAUUUUUUUAAUUAAAGUUGUCUUUAAAAGUACAAGGAUUGCCUAAAUGACCUCUUGUUGUCAGAUUAUGUAAACAUCUAGGUGUAUGCCAAGAUGUUUCCGAAUUACUUAUCUCUUUAAUUUUGCUGAAAUUUCUUAGAAAGAAAAUAAAAGUCAAAGGACUAUUUCUUCUCUUAGGCUUCUGCGCGAAGUCUACGUUUGGCUUUCACAAAUGUCUAAGUAGGUUUAUGCCAUUUCCAUUUGAACAGUUCUAGUCUUGUAGCGACUGACCUAGAACACCUCCAGUAGGGCCAGGCUUUGGAGCAAACAAAAAAAAAACCUCCUCACCCAAAUUUAAAAAUCAAAUCAGACAUGAAAUGAAUGCAUGAAAAGCAAGGUAAGCACGUCAUUUCAAUAAGACCACACACGUGUCUCGUCUAAAAAAAUACGCAGCUCGAGACACCAAAACAUCACAACACCAAUUUCGCUCCUCCAACCUUCACGUAGCAAAACUUGAGGACCCCAUUGGAGCAUGACAAGCAUCUGACACAAAACCAUGGACUUGGAUGGAAAUGGGUUAACUGGAUUGACCGAGGGUAAAGAUUUUUGUUUUUUAUGUUGCUUUAACUUAAUUGCCUCCUUGAUUGGAUAAAGGACCCACCCUCAUGAAGUUUAAUUUAAGUUUGACUAUAGGGAAAUCUGACUUGACUGUUCUUUUGUAAAAUUUAACUUAUUCAUGGGUUUAGAGAUUGAAAACGUGUACAUUGUACGAGUCGACGCAUGGGUAAAUGAGGGGCUUCUUUUACUUAUAAAUUUACAAGCAUAAAAUAUUUUUCUAAUGAUUUUUGUAGAUUAGAGAGUUAAAUUAAGAUUUUGUGGCUUAGACAUUAUUUCUUGAGUGAUUGACGAAAGGGGUUUACUUAUCUUUUUUCCUUUUAAUCCUGGACAUUAUAAUUUGAAAUUGAAUUGAAACUGGACAAUUUACAGAGAGCUGAAAUUAAAUUCAAUUAAAGGCUUUGAGGUUUCCUUGGCAUUUUCAAGUGUUUGUUUUUGAAGAUGCUUUUCUAUAUGUUGGAAAUUUGAUUUGAUUUAAAAUGGUCGUAGCAGAAACAAUGGCGGAGGGGGAGAGAGAGAGACAUUGGCACGUUGGGAGAGGACGCAGGUGCCACAAAGAACAGAAUGUCUAUCACUUUGCGUGGUCCGAGCACACCAAUUAUAUAUGUAGCAGUACCCAUAUUUGUAAAAUUUAAUUACAAAAUUGUGGAUUCCAAGCAUAUGAAUGAUAUUUGUAUAUACAUGAAUUAUUUUUUUUUCAAAAAAAUGUCGAAAGAAUUAAAUUUUUUUAUUUCAAUUUAAAAGUUUCACAUGCAAAUUUGAAUGAAAAAUAACGAAAUUUAUAAAAUAGAAGAUAAUUAUUUAGUUUAAUGCCCAAGAAAGCUCUGAAUAAGUAAAAUUCAAAGUACAUAAGUAAACAUAUAUAUAUAUAUAGUUACUUGUAUUGAUAGAAACAUAUAUACAUUAGAUUCAUAUGCUACAAACAAUAAUGUCUGUCGGCAUACACAUACAAUUUAUGUUGUGGAAAUCGUAUUUUAAAAUUUUUUUGAAUUUCUUUAUUAGAAAUUAGUACGCAGUAGGUUAGACUUGAGAUUGACUUGGGAGCUACCAAACAAGAAGCAUCCAAUGCAAUACAUGCUCCAAAAGAUGUGCACAUGGCCUUCAAUAAUUUCAAGAUAAGGAUGAGCAGGCAAUGGCCCCUUGUUGUCUGGUUGACUUUUGUUUGUGUCCAAUGAAUUGGCAUCUACUACAAGAGACACGGAAACCCAAAAAUCACAAAUAUAAAGUAGAAUCCAGGAUCACAGGGCCCGUUAUCAUCUCCCUUCAGACACCCUUUAGCCCACUUUCAAGACCUUAGAGAAGAUUUGUUUGUUUCUUUCACCCCUUCAUGGAACUUUCAUUUUUUGUUUUUUUGGGACUUUUUGUGAGUGUGAGAGAGAAAAAGGACGAAAUAGAAAAGAUAUAGAGCAAGGAGGGAGAGAGAGAGAGAGAGAACGAGGUCAGGCUGACAAGUCGUUUGGUGGGUACAGUCAGGGUCUGAAAAGCAAACAUGCCUUGGGUAAUAAUCAGAACACGUAGGUUUUCUUGUAUCUCUUGAUAACAUGUAAAUUACAAAUGUAAUAUCAGAUCUAAUGCAAUGUAUAGUAUAUAUAAUACUUUUAAAAAUAUUAAUAUAUUCAAAUUGUAUAAUUACUUGAUCACUAUUUUCAUAUUUGAAUUAUAUAAAGUACUAAAUUUUUUUAUAUUAAAAUAUUUAAAUUUAUUGAUCAAUUUCUCAAUAUAGUGACUUUGAUUAAUAACAUAACCAUUUUUAUAUUUCUUAACUUUAAUGUCCAAAAUGGUAUCAAUCUCAUUCAAAUCUUUCAUUUUAAAUACAGAGGUUAAGUAUUUUUUUGUUUCAUUUAUGCCGAUCAUGUUUUUGCUAAAUAUUAGUAUAUCAUCAACAAAAGGACAUAUUAUUACUCCUUAAUCUUUGGUAAAUUUUGAGUAAACACACUUAUCAGUCCUAUUAUGUUUAAAACCAUAAGAUAAUAUGGAUGAGUCAAAUUUCUCAUGCCAUUGUUUAGAAGCUUGCUUUAGCUCAUAAAGUGAUUUAACUAAUUUACACAUUUUUUUUCUCAUUUUCAAGAAGUAUAGAACCUUCUAAUUGUUCCAUAUAUACUUCCUCAUUUAAAUCACCAUCUAAAAAAGCUAUUUUAACAUCCAUUUGAUAUAUAUAUAUAUAUAUAUAUAUAUAUAUAUAACUUAUAGAUCGAAGCUAACGCUAUAAGUGUUCUAAUAGAUGUUAUUCUAGCUACUGGAACAUAGGUAUCAAAAUAGUUUAUGCCUUCCUUUUGUUUGAAACAUUUAAUAACUAAUCUUGCUUUAAAAGUUUGUACAGAACCAUCGGUAUUAUAUUUUCUUUUGAACACCCAUUUACAUCUAAUUGGUUUAGAACUUAAAAAUAAAUCAACUAAAACCCAUGUAUUAUCAGAUAUUAUUAAGUCCAUUUCAUCAUUUACAGCUUCUUUCCAAAAAGCUACAUCUUUUAAAGACAUUGCUUCACUGAAAGUUUUGGAGUCUUCAUCUACACUUAGUAGAAUUGGUCUUUUAUUUAUUAUUUUGGUUCUAUCUCCUUCAACUAGAAAAACAAAUUGAUUCUACAGAACCAUAAUCAGAAUCUAAAUGUUUCUCAUUUCUUUGAUUCCUUCUUGGCUCAAUUGAUUCGUUACUUUCUUUUCUUUUUUAACCAACUAUUAGAGCCAAUUUAAUUUUCUUUUCUUUUUCAAAAUUAAUAGAAUUAUAAAUAAAUUUAUUUUUAAAGAAAUCAACAUGUAUAGAUUCAACUAUAACAUUAGAAUUUAAAUCAAGUAAUCUAUAUGCUUUUGAAUUUUGUGUAUAACCGACAAAAAUACUUUUGAUGCACCUAGGUCCUAAUUUUGUCUUAUAUCCGUGACUUUUUAAUAACCUAUACACUCUGCACUUUAAAAUAAUCCAAAUUUGGUUUUCUGCCAUUAUUCCAUAAUUCAUAUAGUGUCAUAAGUAAUUUCUUUAAAGGAACUUAAUUACUUAUAUGGCAUGCUAUCAAAAGUGCUUCUUUUCAAAGAUUAAAAAGAGCCUUUGCAUUUAACAACAUACUAUUUACCAUAUCUACUAACGUUCUAUUUUUUCUUUCGACUAAUCCAUUAUGUUAUGGUGCAUAAGGAGCUGUUCUUUGAUGAAUUAUUUCAUUCUCUCAGCAAAAUAGAGAAAACAAAUCUGAAAAAUAUUCUCUUUCCCUAUCACUUCAAAGAAUUUUAAUCUUCUUUUCUUUUUUAUUUUCAACAACAGUUUUGAAUUCUUUGAAUUUGUCAAAUACUUCAUUUUUUGUUUUCAUUAAAUAAACAUGAGUGAAGUGAGAAUAAUUAUUAAUGAAUGUUAUAAAAUACCUUUUUCCUCCCCUUGUUAGUAAACCAUUUAGUUCACAAAUAUCAGAAUGUAUAAGUUCUAAUAAUUCUGAUUUUCUUUCAACUUUUGGAAAAGGUUUCUUAGUCAUUUUUGCCUCAACACAAAUUUCACAUUUUUCAAAGCUAUCUUUUUAACAUUAAAUAUAACCAUAUUUUGACAUAAAUUUUAAACAUUGAAAAUUUAAAUGACCUAGCCUAACAUGCCAUAAAUCAGAAGAAUGCUCAACAUAAUAAAUGUAAAUCUUAAAACCAUUUUUACAUAAUAAAUGUGCAAAUACAAGAUUUUUUCUAAUUUCAAGAAUAUGAAAUACAUUAAGAUAAGUUAAUUUUUGCCCUAAGGUAAAUUUUAACUCAACCAUUCCUUUGCCAAGCAACUUAGCAGGAUUAUAGUAUCUCAUUAGAAUUUCUUCUUAUCUCUUGAGUUCUUCAUAACUCUUGAACUGCCUUUUGUCAUUGCAAACAUGAAUAGUAACAUCAAAAUCUAACCAUCAUUCUGAAUAUUUUGUUGCGAUAGCCAUAUUUACUUCGAUAACCAUUCCAAUAUGCAUUUCAAUCACCAUUCCAAUAUGCAUUUCAAUCACCAUCGCAACAAAACUCUUUAACAUCACAUUCAACAAGGUUUACCUUGUUUCCAUAACAAAAUGCAACAAUCUUGUUAUCAAGAUUUUCAAAAUUUUUGAACUUGAACUCCUUGAUAAAAUGUGCUUUCUUUCCACAAUAAUAACACAUUUUAUCACUUUUAUAUUUCUUGGAUUUCUUGACUUUAUUUCUUUUUCAUUUUCCAGAACCCUUUGCUUUUUCACUAACGAGAUUUAUAUUUAAUCCAAGAAUAAGUGCAUCUCUAGCAUGAUUUUCUACCUUAAUAUGCAAACGAGUUUGAAACUCUUCAAUAGUAAAACUUUCUGGAAAGUGCAAAAUUUUCUUCCUAUAUCCAUUCCAAGAAGAUGAAAGUUUAGACAGAAUUACUCCCACUUGAAGUGAGUCAAGAAUUUUGAUUUGCAGUUCACUUAAUUUUGAAGCUAGAAUUCGUAACUCAUGUACUUGAUCCAUAAUUGGUUUAAUAUCUAUUAUGGUAAAUUCGAAGUAUCUUAAUACAAGAAAUUUAUAUGUACCUUUUUUCCUUUUUUUAUGUGUUUCCUCAAGUGUAGUGUAGAUUUCUUUUGUUGAAGUCUUAUGUUUGAAGAGAUCAUACAAUUGAUCAGUUAAAGAAUUGAAAACAUAUCCACGAAAUAUAAACUCGUCAUGUUUCCAUUUCUCCAUGUUAACAUCAAUAGUGGUUGCGAUAACAAUUGUUGUUACAAUGAUAUUUUCAAAAGAUGUUGCUUCUAUUGAUGUGAUUUCUUUUGGAUUUGAUAGUUGAUCUAUCCGAAGAACAUAACAAAUUUUCAAUGUGAUUAAUAAGAAUACCAUCUUAUCCCUCCAUCUAGUGAAAGUCGUUAUGUCAAAUCUAUCGAGUUUGAUCACUUACUAAUUUUGGAAGUGAAUCUUCACACUUUAAUCUAACUCAAUCUUCAUCACGAAAAAAUUAAGAAAAGUUUGAAAAGAAUACCUUAAGAUUGUUAGAAAAUUUGAGAAAAGAAGAAGGAAAAGAAUGACUUUGAGGACAUGGAUUGUCACUUUUCUUAAGGUAUUUUUUCAAUCUCCAAUAUACAACAAAAUCUUUAACAUACUUAUCAGAAUUAUACAAUUCACAGUGUAAAAACUUUGUUUAUAUAAUAAACCAUAGUAUAAGUUUUUCAAUAAAAAGAUUUGUUUCUUUCCCUAAUAUGACUCUUUAAAUAGUAUGAAAAGAUUUAUUUCUUUUCCUAAUUCAGCUUUUCAAAUAAUUAUUUCUUUUCAUAAUACAUUUAUUCAAUAAUUAUGUUUAAUAACUUUUCAAAAAUUAUAUUUAAUAAAAUAAUUAUUUAUACUUUUUUAAUCACAAUUUUUUAUUAAUAAGGCCAAUAUUAAUAAAUUAUCUAACAGUUAUUGUGCGGAAAGAUGAGGCCCUUGUCUGGUUUAGUUUUGUUGGUGUCCAAUGAAUUGUCAUCUACAACAAGAGAGACAGAAACCGAAAAAUCACAGAACAUAAAACAGAAUCCAGGAUCCCAUGACACAUUAUCAUCUCCCUUUGAGACACCCUUUAGCCUACUUUUAAGGCAUGGAGAAGAUUUGUUUGUUUCUUUCAUCCCUUCAUGGAACUUUCAUUGUUGUUUUCUUGGGAUUUUUGUGAGUGUGAGUGUGAGAGAGAGAAAGGAAGAAAUAGAAAAUAGAUAGAGCAAGGAGGGAGAGAGAGACAGAAAGAGUUGUUUGCCAGGUACUGUCAUGAAAAGCGAACGUGCCUUGGGUAAUAAUAAGAAUACAUAGGAAAAACGUUAACCCAAAAGGAUAAAAAGAUAAAGAAAGUAGACGUGCAAAAACUCAAGCAAGAAAAAGUAAAAAUACAAACAAACAAAAUUGCAAAGGACUUGACCUUUGUUUGUCUUUUUUUUUUUUUGAGUAGUAUCGGGGUAUCAUUAAGACCGGUGUGAAGAAAAAUCACCACCCUGAGAGAAGAUCAUAUGAGCAAAAGUCUAAAAGGCCAAACAGCGGUUUGACUGGUACAUCCGCUUAUUUGCUAUAUACCCGAAUCAAAACUCAUGCCCCUUUCAUGACUCAAACCAUCCGGUACACAAGGAAACCGACAUUCAGGGCCUAAUUUAACACUAACAUUACCAAAAAACACACCAGUUCCUUACCUUGCUAGUUUAUAAACUUGCUGAAUAGGCUUGGGAGAAAUGUAAGCUUCAGUGUCCGAGAUUGCUAUCUCUGGAAGCAGCUCCGGGGAAUUCACUCCUAUUACAACAGCCCUUGGGGCCUCAACAAUAUCAUGCUGUAUUGUUCUAUCUUACAGAUAUUAGUCGGUAUCCCCAGCUGGCUUCUUUGAAGAAACUAAAAACAUAUCACUAUCAGGACAGACGCUGGGAGAAAGGAUGGACUUCCCUGCCAUUACCAUUCAAGAGCCAGCAGCUAGGAUGGAUCCACAAGGCCCAGAUGAUAUUCUACUGCACCAUAUUGUUGCUCGCAUUGAGAAGAACAGGCAGCAGUACCGUCAGCAGAGGCAAGAUCCUGGAACUUACACAAUCUGCCCGUUUCCUGAUUUCCUUGUUGGCAUAGAUGAUAGAAUCCAAUCGCCAAAGUUAGCAUCAUUCGGCCCUCGUCACAGAGGCAAAGAUCAUCUCCUUCCCUUCGAAAAGCACAAGGAUGAUUUUCUUUCUAAAUUUCUUUCUCGGACAGAAAGUCUGGGAAGAGAUUCGCGCUUCUAUGCACAGAAACUGAUAGAGAUCAAGGACAACACAAAAACAUGCUAUUCUGCAAAGAUUGUUAUGCCUCCCGAUGAUGAGCUUGUUCACAUGAUGUUGCUCGACGGUUCCUUCAUGGUAGAGCUCUUCCGUGAAUAUGAAGAGGAGGGUAGACAAGUCACAUGGCCAUGGCAUGUCCAAACUCUGAUUGCAGAUCUCCUGAAACUGGAGAACCAGUUACCCUUUUUCCUUCUUGAGGUAUUGUUCAAUUGGUCCAACAUUGGUCAGGGUGCAUCAAUCCGCACCUUGCCCGAACUUGCCUUGAGAUUUUUGAACCAGGCCUUCUGUUGGCCAUCAGAUAUGGUCAACUCCCAAAUUCAACACCCCAAGCAUUUACUUGACUUAUUCCGCUUGAGUCUCCUUCCCUCUACCAAAACAGACCCACCACAGCAAAGCAAACACCAUCCUUUGGUGCAUUCAAUACAAAGUGUGAAGGAGCUCCGUAGUACCGGAAUCACUGUAAGAAAAAAUAUAGCAAAAAGCCUUUUGGAGAUAGACUUCCGGAAAUUUCAAAUCCCACCCUUAGCCCUUAAAAUCCCUCCAGUUGCCAUAGAUGAAUUCACUAACACCAUCCUGGUGAACUGUGUUGCUCUGGAGCAAUGUUUGCCAGAUCGGUCCAAACAUUUCACUGCGUAUGUAUGCUUCAUGAAUUGCCUCAUGAAGCAACCCGAAGAUGUUGGAUUUCUUCGUUCUGUGGACAUUAUCACACGCGUUUCGCAAGAUGACAAAUAUAUUAUAGACUUGCUGAAUAGUCUUGGGAGAUAUGUAAGCUUCAGUGUUCGAGAUUGCUAUCUCUGGAGGCAGCUCUGGGAUAUUCACUCCUAUUACAACAGCUCUUGGGCAUCAAUUAGGCGCAAUUUGUUUAGCUACAACAACAUCAUGCUGUAUUGUUCUAUCUUACAGGUAGCAAUCGGUAUCCUCAGCUGGCGUCUUUCAAGAAACUAAGCCGCUUUUUGACUCCCCAAGCACAAGGUAAGAGGAAAUACAUUGAUUCUCCUUUCUUUUGUUCCAGAGUUUGUACAUGAUUUUUGUUCUUCCAAUAUGGGCUUUAACUAUAUUAUUACAAGAUUCAAUUCCGUAAAAAAUCUGACUCAGAGUCGCAGGUCACCAGAACUGGAGUCCAGUGCGACAUCUUUGGGUCUGAAUUAAUAAAUCAAAGCUUGCAACCUUGGGAAGCUGAUUUCGCAGAGAUAGACUGCUUUGAAGUAGCAACAACAGUAGAAUUUAUGUUUGGGUCCAUCAGAAGGUAUGGAGUUGCGUCCUUGUGGUUAGAUUUGGGAGAAUGGGUUUGUGAGUCAACUCAGUAGAUAUUUAAUAGAGUUGGCAAUUCCAUUUCACAGCUCUGCUUUGCAAAACUUUGAAGUAAUUGAAACUAUAGGUUUCACUAUUUUUAAUGUUACUUAAAAAUGACCAAUAAUAAAAUGUUGUAGUACUUUUUAAAGUAUUUGAGUUAGAUAGGUAAAUGUCAUAUUUAAUGUUUUGUGGAAUUCUAAUUACAUUCUCGAAUCAUAUAUUAGAGAUUCCCCUUUCUAAAUCCUAUUAUAUGAUUUUAUAGAUUAAUACAUAGGAGGACCAAAUUGCAUGAAAUUUAUGGUUUGUUUUGGAAUGCCAACAAAAUAUAAAAUACGAAAUCUGUCAUUAAUAAUUUUGAUUAUGAUGAAUUUUUACUUUUAAUUACAACGGCGGGAACUGAGCCUAACACCAGACCAAUACCAGCCCAGAUGGACCAUUUCCGUGCACUAGCACCUAUGGCGUCCGUUAGGUGUAACGAUGAGAUUUGUAAUAAUGGACAUUGACGAAAAUGAGAGACGCUGAGAUUGAUAUUGAGCCCAGUCCGAUCGGACCCCACAACGAGGGCUCGAAAACUUUAUAUGAUCCAAUCUCCAACCGUUCUAUGAAAAACUCAUUUGUGUUUGUAACUUGACAUAUAUUAGGCAGUAAUUUGCUGAUAACAUUGAAUUUUUUAAAAAAAAAAAUAAUUCAAUCUAUAUAAUUAAUGUUCCAUUAUUAGAAAUAAGCAAAACAAACUGAGCAAUUAAACUUACAUCCAAACAUUUGACUCGUUAGUUGUUGUAUAAUCUUCCUAUUUUAAAAAAAAAUUAAAUCUCCUUUCCCUAAUUUCAAAAAAAAAAAAAAAAACAGAGCAACUAAAACUUGAUGAAUUAUUAUUGACGAAUGGCAAUUUUGUUAGGCAUUCAUGCUCAACUCAAUUUGAUGCCAACUUCACAUUCGCUUUGCGUGUAAUUUCAGUUUCGCGUUAGCAAGCAUCUGAUGAUAUGUUCAGAGGCAUUAAGCCUUCAAAAGAUAAGAUACUACCCAACGGUUAUGCUCUUUGACAAAGAUAAUGCUCCACAGAGAGCAGUCAGUCUUAUGCUACUCAUACAACUUUGGAUUUUCAUUAUUCCAGAUUUGCUUUAUGGGAAGCCCAACUCUUUUAUGGGACAAGCAAUCCAAAAAAAUAAAACUUUGGGUACCAUCAAAUUUAUACCUACUUUCUUAACCAAACUUGUAGCACACAGUGAAUUCGCAACAUCAAAUAGCAACACCAUAUACCUACUUUCUUAACUAUUUUUUUUAUGAAUGGACAAUGAUAUCAAAUUUAUAUUUGUACCUAAAUCACAUCAAAUUUUAACAAAACAAAUACUACCAAUAAUGACAAGAAUAGUAAAAUUACUUAAACGUUUAAAUUUUGAUAGACAUUUAUUCUGAAUAAUGACACUGCACUCCUCCUUAUUAAGUGCAAUAAUUUUAAACUCACUUAAUUUCUUCUUUUAAAAUAAAAUAUCUUUUAAGAAUUUAACAUAUCUGAAGGAAAAUCGAUUGAAACACACAGUGCACAGUAAUAUGAAUUUCUAGAGAGCUAAACCAAGCAACAAGCAAGAUGAGAAUAAGAAAAUUUUUAGAGCAGAAAAAACAAGCCAGCAUUUCAUUUUCAUUUUGUGUAUAUAUAGUGGCUGCUGCCUCGUGAUUGCAAGAUUCUCCUCAAGACUCGGAUCAAUGAUGAGCACAGAAAACAAGAGAAAAAACAGCUGAGCACAGAAAUCAAAGCUUUGAUUCUGGUGCCAACAACGGUCUUAACAGCUCUGGAAGAAACAAGAAGAAAAGAAAAAACAACCACGGGAAACGACACUCAGCUAAGUCGUGUGACUUAAGCUGUUAAUAACAAAACCAACAUAAACGACAUUAUAGGCAGCGUUUCAAUCAACAUAAAAAACCAAGCUUCAAACGAUGCCGUAUAGACACCCUUUCCUUUCUUCUUCAGCUCUGCUGACUGGCGCCUUUAUUUGAAUCUUUACUUGCUGGAAUCAUAAACUUCAACAGACCUCCUUGAUUCCGGUAGGAUAAACACCCAACUUGUCUCUAAGAAAUUCAAAUCGAUCAGCACUCAAGCCCUUGGUAAAGAUGUCUGCCACUUGAUCAUCAGUGUGACAGUAUUCAAGUUGAAUCUCACCUUCUCUAACAACAUCCCUCAAUGCAUGAAACUUCACCCUUACAUGCUUUGUUCUGCUGUGUUGGACUGGAUUUCUAGCAAUAGCCAUGGCAGACUGAUUAUCAACUCUUAUCAGAGUACCACUUUCCUAAGGAAAAUUCAAGUCUGCAAGAACCUUUCCCAGCCAUAAGGCUUGAUUAGCAACUGCAGCAGUGGCAAUGUAUUCUGCUUCAGCUGAUGAUUGAGCAACUACUUCUUGCUUCCUUGAACUCCAUGUAAAUACACCACUUCCAAAGGAAAAACAGUACCUUCCAGUACUUUUUGAAUCAUCAACCGAUCUAGCCCAGUCACUAUCAGUGAAUCCUUGCAGAUCAUAGCUUUCAGACUUCAAAAACCUUAAACCAUAACUUGCAGUACCUUUCACAUACCUCAAGAUACGUUUGGCUAUAGUGAAGUGAUGAAUUGAUGGAGCUUGCAUGAAUCUGGAUAAGAAGCUUGUAGCAAACAUCACAUCUGGUCUAGUAGCAGCUAGGUAUAGCAAGGAGCCAAUGAUACUUCUGUAAAGAGUUUCAUUUGCCUUUUUUGCACCAUCAUCACCAAAGGCUGGUGAUACAGAAUAAAAAAAAUCCUCGAAUCUUUCAAACAACGACACAGCCAAGUAAUUCCAACCCCCUUACGGUAGCGAUUUGCUUCCAUUAUUGUCUUGUAGAGGUAGGAAUCUUGAAU